UACGGGGGGGGGCAAGCGUUGUUCGGAAUUACUGGGCGUAAAGGGCGCGUAGGCGGUCCGCUAAGUUAGAUGUGAAAACUCUGGGCUUAACCCAGAGCCUGCAUCUAAUACUGACGGGCUAGAGUUCUGGAGGGGGUAGCGGAAUUCCUGGUGUAGCGGUGAAAUGCGUAGAUAUCAGGAGGAACACCGGUGGCGAAGGCGGCUACCUGGACAGAAACUGACGCUGAGGCGCGAAAGCUAGGGGAGCAAACAGG
rnacentral:rRNA from 1 species